AACGAACGCUGGCGGCAUGCCUAACACAUGCAAGUCGAACGGGAUCCUAGCUUGCUAGGUGAGAGUGGCGGACGGGUGAGUAACACGUGGGAAUCUGCCUUUUGGUUCGGGAUAACCGCGGGAAACUGCGGCUAAUACCGAAUGCCCUCGCGAGAGGAAAGAUUUAUCGCCAGAAGAGGAGCCCGCGUCCGAUUAGGUAGUUGGUGGGGUAAAGGCCUACCAAGCCGACGAUCGGUAGCUGGUCUGAGAGGAUGAUCAGCCACACUGGGACUGAGAUACGGCCCAGACUCCUACGGGAGGCAGCAGUGGGGAAUAUUGGACAAUGGGGGCAACCCUGAUCCAGCAAUGCCGCGUGAGUGAUGAAGGCCUUAGGGUUGUAAAGCUCUUUUGCCAGGGAGAUGAUGACUGUACCUGGAGAAUAAGCCCCGGUAACUUCGUGCCAGCAGCCGCGGUAAUGUGACGCUCUU
rnacentral:rRNA from 1 species